UUUACAAAAACUAAAAGGUUAGCAGUCAUGGUGGUGCGCAUCUGUAGUCCUAGCUAUACUGAGGAGGCUCAGGUGGGAGGAUCGCUUGAGCCCAGGAGGUCAAGGCUGCAGUGACCUGUGAUUGUGCCACUGCAUUCAGCCUGGGCAAUGGUAAAACCCUGUCAAAAAAUGCAAUUUUUGUUUUCAAAAACGAUAAACAAAGACUAGAGAAUUUAAUUUAUCCAUGGGUUUCAGGUUUGAGUAUAUAUAUUUUUUUAUUUUUGAGACGGAGUCUUGCUCUGUCGCCCAGGCUGGAGUGCAGUGGCACAAUCUCGGCUCCCUGCAACCUCCGCCUUCCGGGUUCAAGCGAUUCUCCUGCCUCAGCCUCCCGAGUAGCUGGGACUACAGGCACCCACCACCACGGUGGGCUGAUUUUUGUAUUUUUAGUAGAGACAGGGUUUCACCAUGUUGUCCAAGCUGGUCUUGUACUCCUGACCUCAGGUGAUCCGCCCGCCUGGGCCUCCCAAAGUGCUGGGAUUUACAGGCGUGAGCCACCGCGCCCGGCCCAGGUUUGAGUAUUUCUUAAUCAAUGAUCUCCAAAUGUUUCCCAGUCCAAUGCGUUAAAUAUGAACGCUUAGGCAAGAUUGCUCCGGAAGGCCCGGGAAAUACUUGACCGGCUUAUGCCCCUCCCACCCCUACUUUUGAGGAAGGUGCCCGGAAUGGGACAUGGAUAGGGUCCCGGAAUUGGCCUUCUCCGGAAUCGGAAUCUGAGCGAGGACUCCGGGAUCCCCAGCCUGAGGACCUCCGGCGUUUCCACUCCCUGGCUCCCCGUCCCACCUGUUGCCUUUGCUAUGCCUACCCUGGUUCUUUUUCGUGCUAUGGAGACAGCGUGGGCAACUCCAGCGCAAGAAGAGGGAUGCUCCUUCUAGAGACAGCAGGUGUCCUGGAAGAGAGAUGUGAAACUUCGGGAAAGAUCUGGCUGCAGAACAUCCUGGAAUUGUGUCCGCAUAAACCCAGGGUCAUUGCCCCCACCAAACGCUGAAUGCCCUGUGAGGAGCCAGAGGAGCCCCCAUUUAGCGUGAUGGAUUCAUAUUUUAAAAGUAAAAAAGACAGACACAAAAUGACUUUGACAAUCAAUUUUUAAAGCUGUUAACUUUUAAAUAAUUAUAGAUUCAUAGUGUCCCAAUCCAUUUGGUGUUGCUGUAAAGGAAUACGUGGGACUGGGUACUUUAUAAAGAAAAAAGAUUUAUUUGGCUCACAAUUCUGCUGGCUGGAAGAUUGGGCAUCUGGUGAAAGCCUUAGGCUGCUUCCAUUCAUGGCAGAAGGCAAAGGGGAGCCAGUGUUUCCAGAGAUCACAUGGUGAGAGGGGAAGCAAGACAAGGAGGGAGGUGCUGGACUCUUUUAACAAUCGGCGCUUUCGGGGACUAAUAGAGUUAAGUACUCACUCCUCCAAGGGCAUGCAUGUAUUAAUGAAGAAUCCAUGAAUCAAAGGACCCCCAUGACCCAAACACCCCCCAAUAGGUUCCAACUCCCAACACCAUCACACUGGGGAUUAAAUUUCAACAUGAGAUUAGGAGGAAACAAACAUUGAAACUAUAGCAUAUAGGAAGUUCAAGGGUAGUACAGAGAGGUCCCAGGUAACUUUCACCCACGUGUGGACUCUUGUAGCCCCCGCAGUAAUCAAGACACAGAACCAUUUCAUCACCCCAAAGACCUCUUCCCUGCCAUCCCUUGGUGGUCAUGCCCAGUCCUCCCUCUCUCAACAUUCUUAGCCCCAGGCCACCGUUAAUGUGUUUCCCAUUUCUGUGAUUUUGUCAUUUUGAGAAUGUGAUAUAGAAGAAAUCACAGAGUAUGGCUUUUUUUGUUUUUGUUUUUUUUUUUUUUUGAGAUGGAGUUUUGCUCUUGUCACCCAGGCUGGGGUGCAAUGGUGUGAUCUUGGCUCAGUGCAACCUCCAUCUCCCGGGUUCAAGCGAUUCUCCUGUCUCAGCCCCCCAAGUAGCUGGGGUUACAGGCACACGCCACCACACCUGGCUAAUUUUUGUAUUUUUAGUAGAGAUGGGGUUCACCAUGUUGGCCAGGCUGGUCUCAAUCUCUUGACCUCGUGAUCCGCCCCCCUUGGUCUCCCAAAGUGCUGGGAUUACAGGUGUAAGCUGCCGCACCCGGCCUUGUAUGUCAUCUUUU
rnacentral:lncRNA from 10 species